CUUGCUCUCGGGUGACGAGUGGCGGACGGGUGAGUAAUGUCUGGGAAACUGCCUGAUGGAGGGGGAUAACUACUGGAAACGGUAGCUAAUACCGCAUAACGUCGCAAGACCAAAGAGGGGGACCUUCGGGCCUCUUGCCAUCAGAUGUGCCCAGAUGGGAUUAGCUAGUAGGUGGGGUAACGGCUCACCUAGGCGACGAUCCCUAGCUGGUCUGAGAGGAUGACCAGCCACACUGGAACUGAGACACGGUCCAGACUCCUACGGGAGGCAGCAGUGGGGAAUAUUGCACAAUGGGCGCAAGCCUGAUGCAGCCAUGCCGCGUGUAUGAAGAAGGCCUUCGGGUUGUAAA
rnacentral:rRNA from 1 species